rnacentral:rRNA from 1 species
AAUAUUGGACAAUGGGCGAAAGCCUGAUCCAGCCAUGCCGCGUGUGUGAAGAAGGUCUUCGGAUUGUAAAGCACUUUAAGUCGGUUUAAAGGGCAGCAAGUUAAUCCGUUGCUGUUUCGACGGUCUCGACUGAACAGGCACCGGCUACCUUCGUGCCAGCAGCCGCGGUAAUACGAAGGGUGCAAGCGUUAAGCGGAAUUACUGGGCGUAAAGCGCGCGUAGGUGGUUUGUUAAGUUGGAAGUGAAAGCCCCGGGCUCAACCUGGGAACUGCUUUCAAAACUGGCAAGCUAGAGUAUGGCAGAGGGUGGUGGAAUUUCCUGUGUAGCGGUGAAAUGCGUAGAUAUAGGAAGGAACACCAGUGGCGAAGGCGACCACCUGGGCUAAUACUGACACUGAGGUGCGAAAGCGUGGGGAGCAAAC